GUGCCAGCCGCCGCGGUAAUACCAGACUCCGCGAGUGGUCGGGGUGCUUACUGGGCCUAAAGCGCCCGUAGCCGGCCCGGUAAGUCCGUCCCGUAAAUCCACGGGCUCAACCCGUGGGCUGGGGACGAUACUGCCGGGCUUGGGGGCGGGAGAGGCCCAGGGUACUCCCGGGGUAGGGGCGAAAUCCGUAGAUCCCGGGAGGACCACCAGUGGCGAAGGCGCCCCGCUAGAACGCGCCCGACGGUGAGAGGCGAAAGCCGGGGCAGCAAAAGGGAUUAGAUACCCCUGUAGUCCCAGCUGUAAACGAUGCCGGCUAGGUGUUUGGGCGGGCUUAGAGCCCGCCCAGUGCCGGAGGGAAGCCGUUAAGCCCGCCGCCUGGGGAGUACGGCCGCAAGGCUGAAACUUAAAGGAAUUGGCGGGGGGGCACCACAAGGGGUGAAGCUUGCGGCUUAAUUGGAGUCAACGCCGGAAACCUUACCCGGGGCGACAGCAGGAUGAUGGCCAGGCUAACGACCUUGCCGGACGAGCUGAGAGGAGGUGCAUGGCCGUCGUCAGCUCGUGUUGUGAAAUGUCCGGUUAAGUCCGGCAACGAGCGAGACCCCCACCCCUAGUUGGUACCCUGGCCUCCGGGCCAGGGCCACACUAGGGGGACUGCCGCCGUAAGGCGGAGGAAGGAGGGGGCCACGGCAGGUCAGCAUGCCCCGAAACCCCCGGGCCGCACGCGGGUUACAAUGGCAGGGACAGCGGGAUCCUGCCCCGAGAGGGGUGGGCAAUCCCUAAACCCUGCCUCAGUUGGGAUCGAGGGCUGCAACUCGCCCUCGUGAACGAGGAAUCCCUAGUAACCGCAGGUCACCAACCUGCGGUGAAUACGUCCCUGCUCCUUGCACACACCGCCCGUC
rnacentral:rRNA from 1 species